rnacentral:rRNA from 1 species
AUUGAACGCUGGCGGCAGGCCUAACACAUGCAAGUCGAGCGGAUGAAGGGAGCUUGCUCCUGGAUUCAGCGGCGGACGGGUGAGUAAUGCCUAGGAAUCUGCCUGGUAGUGGGGGAUAACGUCCGGAAACGGGCGCUAAUACCGCAUACGUCCUGAGGGAGAAAGUUGGGGAUCUUCGGACCUCACGCUAUCAUAUGAGCCUAGUUCGGAUUAGCUAGUUGGUGGGGUAAAUGCCUACCAAGGCGACAAUCCGUAACUGGUCUGAGAGGAUGAUCAGUCAAACUGGAACUGAGAAACGGUCCAGACUCCAACGGGAGGCAGAAGUGGGAAAUAUUGGAAAAUGGGGGAAAGCCUGAUACAGCAAUGCCGCGUGUGUGAAGAAGGUCUUCGGAUUGUAAAGCACUUUAAGUUGGGAGGAAGGGCAGUAAGUUAAUACCUUGCUGUUUUGACGUUACCAACAGAAUAAGCACCGGCUAACUUCGU